UUGCAGAGCCAUUUUGGCAUUCUGUCCACCUCCAUAUAUAAGAGUUUAAUAAUAAUUCUUGGAGGUGGCCAGCAUGCCAAACUGGCUCUGUAA
rnacentral:pre_miRNA from 1 species